GCUAUGGCUACUGAACAAUGUGUGCGCCCUGUUGAAAAAACCCUACACGAAGGGAAACAUGAACACCAUCCGAGCAGUGGCCAAACUCAGGUUCAUAAGGAGAGUAAGGGUGUGAGUCAAUCACAUGGGCACAACCAACUGAGCCAUGACACACCCAAAACACAUGCCGAGUCCAAGACCGUGAGCCAUGGUGUCCAUGCUCAGCAACAUGUGGCUCAAAGCACGGCCAUGCCUACAACUUGCCAUGGAAAGAAGGAAAAGAAGAUGAAAGACAAGAAGGAGAAAGACAAGGACAGGAAGGAAAAGAAAGAAAAGAAGGAAAAGAAGACCGAGAGCA
rnacentral:lncRNA from 1 species